GUUGAAGCUCAGGGCUGAGGGAACGUCCUUCACGUCGUGGAGCCAUUUUUGGCAGAGGAGGCCUGUGUGGACUCGGUGACAAAACCAGGAGAUGAGUUUCAGGCCACCAAGGCACAGGGGCUGUUCAGCAGAACCCGUUCGUCUUCGUUUACCGCAAGACUGAGCAACCUUCUGGCGUGUCCGCACUGUUUGGCCUGGAGGUGCAUCUAGACGGCUGUCCCCAGCACCCUGUCACCCCACCCUCAAGGAGGUGUGACCUUUUCUCAGUUGGUGGAAUUAGCGGCAGUGAGACAGGAGUCAAGACCCGGGAGGGUCUUGCAAAAUUGCCAUCUCUUCAGAUCAACUGGGCAAUGCAUCUCAGGGAGGACCACAGGCCAUUGGCACGGGCAGCCGUCCAAUGAGGGAGG